rnacentral:rRNA from 1 species
AACGAACGCUAGCGGUGUGGAUUAGGCAUGCAAGUCGCGCGCGAAAGCCUUCGGGCGAGUAAAGCGGCGAAAGGGUGAGUAACACGUAACCAACGUACCCCUCAGACUGGGACGAACCACUGGAAACGGUGGAUAAUACCGGAUGGUCCACUGGGCAGCAUUGCCUGGCUGGUAAACGGCGGCCGCAAGGCGGUUGCUGAGGGAGCGGGUUGCGGCCUAUCAGCUUGUUGGUGAGGUAACGGCUCACCAAGGCUAUGACGGGUAACAGGUCUGAGAGGAUGAUCUGUCACACUGGGACUGAGACACUGCCCAGACUCCUACGGGAGGCUGCAGUCGAGAAUCUUCCACAAUGGGCGAAAGCCUGAUGGAGCGACACCGCGUGCAGGAUGAAGGCC